UAUUCACGCUGGCGGCGUGCCUAAUACAUGCAAGUCGAGCGAACAGACGAGGAGCUUGCUCCUCUGACGUUAGCGGCGGACGGGUGAGUAACACGUGGAUAACCUACCUAUAAGACUGGGAUAACUUCGGGAAACCGGAGCUAAUACCGGAUAAUAUAUUGAACCGCAUGGUUCAAUAGUGAAAGACGGUUUUGCUGUCACUUAUAGAUGGAUCCGCGCCGCAUUAGCUAGUUGGUAAGGUAACGGCUUACCAAGGCAACGAUGCGUAGCCGACCUGAGAGGGUGAUCGGCCACACUGGAACUGAGACACGGUCCAGACUCCUACGGGAGGCAGCAGUAGGGAAUCUUCCGCAAUGGGCGAAAGCCUGACGGAGCAACGCCGCGUGAGUGAUGAAGGUCUUCGGAUCGUAAAACUCUGUUAUUAGGGAAGAACAAAUGUGUAAGUAACUAUGCACGUCUUGACGGUACCUAAUCAGAAAGCCACGGCUAACUACGUG
rnacentral:rRNA from 1 species